GCUGAUUCUCAAAUAAGCAUCAUACGUACAUGUCCAAUUAUCCAUACAUACAACUAUUGAAUAUGUACAGCAGAAUCAUACAUACAUAUCCAAUUACUCAUACAUAUAACUAUUGAACAUGCACGACAUUAAAUGUGCAAAUGAUAGCUUAGAUAACCUCUAAAACUACAUAUUUAUUACAGAAUAUUAAAGUAGUACGAGAAGCAGGGAAACUAAGUUCAAAUGCAUCCUGUAUCAAACAAUCAAUCAUCAUGCACGGUCUAAGAAAGUACCUGAGAAUAAGGAAAAAACAAAGAGGGAGUGAGGAAGCAGUAAUCAACAGCAGCUAACCUAGUUUAAUCUUCAACAAUGUAGCAAUAACUUCAAAAAUCAAAACAGCUUCAAACCAGAACUUCUCAGAAUUACAUCAUUUUUCAACCCAGAAUCAGAACUUCUUUUUUAAAAAAAAAAAUUCUGACUAACAAACCAAUUUAAAGAACAUAACUAAGACCAAUUUAUAUCAAAAGAUUGCAGAAAUUCCUUAUGUAAUUUUUUUUCGUUUCUCCAACUCUCUUUCUGCGUAUAUUUCUGUGUGUUCCAGCUCCCUUAAAUAGCCAUUCAAUUAGUGCCUUUUCCACUACAACUUAUCUUCUCCAUUUUAAAUUAUCCACUCAGAUUAGUGCUUUUAGUUAAUUCAAUAAUGCAAAUACUACCCUACCACUAUUAGAAGUUUCUCAAUUAGUGCCCAUUUGCAUAAAACUUAUAAUAGUCAAUUCUUAUCAACACAAUUAAACAAGAAUUUAAACCAAAUUAUUGAACUGAUCCUAAUUACUCUGACUAAACCUAGAAUACGAAGGGCUCAGAGGUUGCCAUAAUUAACAGAAGAAAUCAAGAAGUCAGAUGACAUGAACAAUAACUAAAGAAACUCAUGAAUAAACCAGACUAAAUUGACGAACAAUUUUUAGUUCGACACAGAAACUAACUAGAACAAAUUGAAUCCGACCAAAUAACCAUUCUGAAAAAUAAAAGAAAGGAGUAGAGGAACAAAAAAUAAAAAAGAAUUAGGAAAACUAAAAAUAGGACACCUACCUCCAAAUCCUCCAAUAUCUAACUGAUUUGGAGUUUGGGAUUUUAAGGUUUUUUUUAGAUUCGAACAGUUAUGGUGUCAUUUGAAGGGUGUGAAGUGGGGAUCUGAAAAGAGGGUAGUGAGAUGGUUCUGGGGUAUCGAUUUGGGGCUGGUUGGGUAAGCUAUGGUUCGGGGUCAGAUCUUCGAUCCAAGAUUCGAAGAGCUACGGGGUGAUUCGAGGAAAAGGGAGUGGGGAUUUGGCAUGAGGGGAGUGAGGGGGUUCUGCGGUGUAAUUAUGAAAGGGAUUGGACCACUGGAACCGCCGUGAGGUGAUUUCCAGUGGGCGGAUGGCGGUGGUGUGAGGUGGCGUUGCGUUGGGUCUCUGAAGAGAUGAGAGACGAAGGAGGGGUGGGUUCUGAGAGGGGUAAAGGGGUUUGGAUUUUGGGUAUAUUAAAAUGGGGGAUUAAUUCGGGCCGUUGGAUAAUUAGAAUCUAACGGCCCAGAUUAGCUCAUUAAAUGAAACGGGGUCGUUUUGGUUUCAUGGGGGGCGGACCGGUUCAGGGGCAGGUCAGGGUCGGGUAAUGGAAAUGGGGCGAAGUUCUGGUCGUUGGAUGUAGAUGAAUGGACGGUUGAGAUCUAUUGAAAUUGAAAUGAUGUAGUUCUGUCCCUAUACUACGUCGUUUCGAUGGUUUCAGAGGCUGGAAGUUUUGGCCGGGUAUGGGGCAUGUUUUUGGGCUGGGUUAAUUGAUUUGGGCUUGGGAUUUAAUUUAAAUUUGGCCCAAAUUUUAUUUCCUCUCUUUAUUAACUCUUUUUUUNNNNNNNNNNNNNNNNNNNNNNNNNNNNNNNNNNNNNNNNNNNNNNNNNNNNNNNNNNNNNNNNNNNNNNNNNNNNNNNNNNNNNNNNNNNNNNNNNNNNNNNNNNNNNNNNNNNNNNNNNNNNNNNNNNNNNNNNNNNNNNNNNNNNNNNNNNNNNNNNNNNNNNNNNNNNNNNNNNNNNNNNNNNNNNNNNNNNNNNNNNNNNNNNNNNNNNNNNNNNNNNNNNNNNNNNNNNNNNNNNNNNNNNNNNNNNNNNNNNNNNNNNNNNNNNAAAAAUAUAAAAUCAAAUCUUAAAUUUCAAUGCUAUAUUUUUGUAUUUUUAAUGCAUUAAUAAAAUUAAACAUUCCCACAAUUAUAUGCAUACAAUCAGAAAAAUCACGCAAUAAUUCCUAAAAAUAACAAAUAAUCAAAGCCAAAACCUAAUUUUGGGAAUUAUUUUGGAGUAAUUCGUAUGAGAAAAAAAUCACGUGCUCACACCCACUGGUCAGCACUAUCCAGCCACAUCCCGACUUCAGUUUUUCUGUAUGAACAACAUUGCCAAGUAUGAAGCCUGCAUUAUGGGCAUGAACAUAGCAAUCGAUCAGGAUGUGGAAGAGUUAUUAAUUUUGGGAGAUUCCGACCUGAUUAUUCGACAAGCUAAAGAUGAAUGGGAAACUCGAGAUAUCAAGCUUAUUCCAUACAGGAAACAUGUGGAAGAUCUUAGAAAGCGAUUCAAAUCUGUUGAGUUCAGGUACAUUCCUCGAUUUCACAAUGAGUUAGCCGAUGCACUAGCUACUUUGGCCUCGAUGCUGCCGUAUCCAGGCAAUGUCCACAUUGACCCAUGAGAAAUUCAAAUCCGAGAAAGACAUAGUUACUGCAAUACAGUUGAGAUGGAACCAGAUGUUCAUCCAUGGUAUCAUGAUAUCAAAAGAUUCUUGAAAAUAAAGGAAUAUCCCGAACAAGCCAGUGACCAAAAGAGAACCAUUAGAAGGCUCGCCAGUAAUUUCUUCUUGAGCGGAGAAGUCUUAUAUAAAAGGACUCCAGAUCUGAACCUUUUAAGAUGCGUGGAUACCCAAGAGGCUGGAAGAAUAAUGAAUGAAGUGCACGCAGAAGUAUGCGGACCCCAUAUGAACGGAUACGUCAUUGCAAAGAAAAUCCUUCGAGCAGGUUAUUACUGGAUGACCAUAGAAAAGAAUUGCUUCAGUUUUGUCCGAAAGUGUCAUCAGUGUUGGGUACAUGGUGACCCGAUUCAUGCACCGCCUUCAGAAUUGCACCCUAUGUCAGCACCGUGGCUGUUUAUUGUUUGGGGUAUGGAUGUCAUUGGGCCAAUCGAGCCGAAAGCUUCAAAUGGGCACAGAUUCAUCUUAGUUGCCAUUGACUAUUUCACAAAGUAGGUUGAAGAAGUCACUCUCAAAGCCGUCACCAAGAAAGUAGUGGUGGACUUCAUGCAUUCCAACAUUAUCUGUCGUUUUGGUAUUCCUAAAACUAUCAUUACGGACAAUGCUGCAAAUUUAAAUAGUCAUUUGAUGAGGGAGGUAUGUAAACAAUUUAAGACCACACAUCAGAAUUCUACCUAUUAUCGGCCCAAAGCUAAUGGUGUUGUUGAAGCACCGAACAAAAACAUCAAGAAAAUUCUUAGGAAAAUGAUUCAAAGUUCUAGACAAUAGCAUGAAAAAUUGCCUUUUGCAUUGUUGGAAUAUCGCACAACCGUGUGCACAUCAGUUAGGGCAACACCUUACCUAUUGGUUUAUGGCAUUGAAGCCGUAAUACCCGCAGAAGUGGAAAUCCAUCCCUUCUAAUCAUCGUUGAAGCUGAGGUUGAGGACAAUAAAUGGUCAAGACCCGUCUAGAAUAGUUAACCCUAAUUGAUGAAAAGCGAAUGGCCGUAGUUUUCCACGGGCAGUUGUAUCAACAAAGAAUGGCCCGUGCCUACAACAUGAAAGUGCGGCCUACGAACUUUGAAGUGGGACAGCUCGUUUUGAGACGUAUUCUCCCGCAUCACAAGGAAGCAAAAGGAAAGUUCGCUCCAAAAUGAAAUAGUCCGUACAUUAUAAGAAAAUUAUUGACAAAAGGGGCAUUGUACUUGGGAGAUAUUGAAGGAAAUGACCCUAAAAUAGUUGUCUAUGCAGACGUGGUCAAAAGGUAUUACGUUUAACCCUUCUGCCGUACAGAUAUUCUCCGAUUGACGAAGGUUUUUUUUUGGUAAUUAAAAUUUUUUAUUAAUCAUUAAAAGUGAAGGCAUUACAAAGCAUAGCUUAGCUACUCCCAACUAGCUAAUUCUCAUGAGAUUUACAGGAAAAACACUAAACUAUCUUAGCAUACUAGACCAUAUUGCUAUCAAUGCACUAUGCUAAAAAUACAACUUUUGCACUAGUUUCUUUACAUUCCCAAUAGCUCUAAAAUACAUAUGUAGACUAUCUCCCUUGCCCAGCUUGAAUGAUCUCUGAAUGUUUCUUGAAAUAUUCUCUAAUUCCUUUCUUUCCAUAGAGCAUGUGUAUAUUCUGCAUACAUGAGAAGUUUUUCUACAGUUGAUUUCCCUUUUGUGUGCUGACAAGUGAUAUGUAGUUGUUGCUCCAAUGUUUAACUACUAAUGUUCUGUACCUUUGCCCAUUGACUCAGUCCACACCACAACCUUUUAGCAUAGUCACAUUCAGCAAAUAGAUGAUUCCUUGUCUCCAAGUUAGUUUGCAUAACACACAUGAGUCAUUUACACUAAGUCCCUAUUUCUUAAGUCUGUCCACAGUAAGUAACCUCCCUUGGCAUUGAAGCCACAUUGUGAUUAUAGCCUUAGGUCUGGCAGCAUUGCUACACAUUAGACUUCUCCAGGUAGUUUUAGGUAAUAUUGGACUCAGUUGAAGAUAUAUCUGCUUAAUGAUGCUUUUCAUAUUCUUUAAUGGUAUGUGCAGCUGAUUUAUGAUCUCCCUUGCUUCCAAUAUCUUCCUCACCAUCCAGCUUGCAUUCAUAAGGAUAGGCAUAGAAUUUAUACACUGCUCUUUGAUGUACACAGUAUGAAUCCACUUAAUCCACAAUUUGUCUUGCUUGUGAGAUAAAUCCCAGAAAGUUUUGACAAUGGCAGCAGUAUUCCAGAUGUGAAGGUUGCUUAAGUUGAGUCCACCAACUGUCUUAGGUAGACACACUUUAUCCCAGGCAAUGAGGGACCUUUUUGUGAUUUCAUUACCACCAGACCACAUGUAACUUCUACAAUAAGCUUCUAUUAAUUUAAUCACUUUGACUGGUAAUUGAAAUAUUUGAGCCCAAUAUGAUUGGAUUCCAAACAGCACAGUCUGUAUUAAUUGGACCCUUCCAGCAUAAGACAACUUUUUUGUAGUCCAUGAAGUAAUCUUUGCUACUAUUUUAGUGAUGAGAGAUUGCCAUUGUAACAUAUUCAGCUUCUUUGUGUCCAAUGGUACUCCUAGAUAUUUGAAAGGUAGUUGACCUUGAGUAUAUUCCAUAUUCUGGCAUAUUGUUUCUAUAGUCCCUCUUUCCAUUCCUCCAUAGUAUAUAACACUCUUAUUUAGAUUUGCUUGCAAUACAGAAGCUCUUAAAAAGGUUGUGAAGCAUUCUUGUAGCCUUUUAGUUGAGGAUAUGUCCCCUCUAGAAAACAACAAGUCAUCAGCAUAACUUAGAUGAGUUAUGUGUAGUUGUUGUAUCAGGGAUGAUAUUUGAACCACUUAUCCUAGUGUAAUUCAUUGAGAAGUCUGCUCAAGUAUUCCAUAGCAAUGGAAAACAAGAAAGGAGUGAUUAGAUCUCCUUGCCUUAGGCCUUUAGCAACAUUAAAUGGCUCAUGAGAUUCCCCAUUCAGUAGAAUGGUGUAGUUAAUGUUUUCACACAAGCCAUUAACCAUUUGAUAAACUUUUCUAGAAAAUUCAAUCCUUCUAGAACCUGUUCCAAGUAAACUCAUUCUAUAGAAUCGUAGGCCUUUUGCAAGUUAACUUUGAUCAUACAUCUAGGAGAGAUGUGUUUUCUUCCAUAUGACUUAACCAAUUCAUGUGCAAGUAUAAGGUUGUCCACAAUCCUUCUCCAUGGCAUGAAACCUUCCUAAGCUUCUGAGAUGAUGCAAUUCAUAACCUUUUGUAAUAUCCCAGCAAGAACUUUUGCAAUUAACUUGUACAUCAUUGUGCAACAAGCAUUAUGUCGAUAGUCCUUCACAAUAUUUGGAUUUGCUAUCUUUGGAAGCAGGGUUAGUGUGGUGCAAUUAAUAGCUUUAAACAUGAUUCCAGUGUUAAAGAACUCUGUAAUAGCAUCACAUACCUCAAGUUUGAUGAUUGGUCAAGCUUGCUUAAAGAAGGUAGCAUUAAAUCCAUCAAUCCUAAGAGCCUUGUGAUCACCAAUUGAACCAAGUGCUUCACAAAUUUCAGCAUUUGUAACUUUGGCACAUAACUCAAUCUGUUGGCAGUGGGGCAGUCAAGGUCCAUUUCUCAUCACCAUCAUAUUAACACUUGGAAGAGAAACUGUGGUUGAUCCCAUCAAGGAUUUAUAAAAUGUUGUAAACUCCUCAUUGAUAGCUUUAGGAUAUUUCAGCUUUAUGCCUGACAGGGAAGUGAUAUCCAGAAUCUGUCUCUGGUGCUAUUUUUCCUUCAUUACUGUUGUAAAAUACCUUGUGUUUGAAUCAUCUAGUUUGAUCCAUGUAGCUCUGGAUUUUUGCUGCACCACACUUUCUUCAAUCAUAGACCAUUUCUCCAAUUGUUGUAAACACUGCUUCUCUUGCUCAGCUAGGGAGUCAGAGUACCUAUGUUGCAUUUCUUUUUGAAGCUCCUUCAAUGCAGUUCUAGUCUUUGUGAUUUUCUCAGUGAGCCCUUUAAAAUCUUCAUUGUUAAGUUGCUUUAAAGUUGGUUUCAGUUGUUUCAGAUUGAGCCAUACAUUUCUCAUUUUCCCUCCUGUCUCCCUUCUUUUCCAACCAUCAUCAACUAUCUAUUUGAAACUUCUAUGUUCAGUCCAAACAUUGAAGAAUCUGAAGGGUAUUUUCAUGUUAUUCUUAAGGGCUCUGAAUGGUAUCAUUAUGGGUACAUGAUCAGAAAUAAAAGGUUCUCCAAACUCUACUGUCAGAUGUCCAUAUUGCACCAUUCAUUCAUCAUUUGCUAUCACUCUAUCAAUUCUACUACAAACUCUGUCUGCUCAUUAUUGCUUGUUUGUCCAAGUAAAGUAUUCACCUCUCCAAAGAAUUUCAUUUAAAAGAAGACUAUUACAGCAAUUUGAGAAGUCAUGUAAUUCUGCCAUAGUUAUUCGUGAACCUUGUCUAUCAUAUGGGUAUAGGACUGCAUUGAAAUCACCACAUAAUAACCAAGGUUUAUUACUUCUAGAAGUUAUCCUCUGCAACCCAUCCCAUAGAGCUUUCCUCUGUUCAACUGUGUUAUAACCAUAGAUGACUGUAAGUAAGAACUUGAUUCCAUUUUGUAAACCAGUGACCUGACAAUGUAUGAAUUAAGCAGCUUCUUGAACCAGUUGGAUAUCAUACUAUUUAGGAUCCCAAGUGAUCCAUAUUUUGCCAUUUCUUUCUUCCUUAUAGUUUGAUAAUCUUUCCCAUUUAGGAGUAACUCUACCAGCAACAUGUAAUGCCUUAUUUUGUUUAACUCUAGUUUCUAUGAUAGCAACUAACUUUAUAUGAUUGUUUUAAGGUACUGCUUUAAUUCCUUCUGCUUGUACCUCUUAUUUAUUCCCCUAAUAUUCCAAAAGAGCCAGUUGUUUAUGAUAGCCUAGUGUUACCCCAUAAAUUAGGAGGUUUAGCUUUCACAAUUUUCUGUUCCUCAUCAGGCAAAGCUUGAAAUCCAUUUACUGUUGCAAUAUCCCUAGGAGCAAGAUAAUUUUGUGUUGUUGCUUUUACACCUGAGCUUGCUCCUUUGAUCUAACCUGUGUCCAGCCUCCUUCAGUAUUCAUAUCUGGUGUUGCACAGCACUUUUCCGUUUAACUUGGUUAUCUGUAUCUUCAUUUUGUUCCAUCUGUACUGGUUCCUUUUUUUGUUGCUCUUUGUUCUUAGGUACCUAUGUUGGAACUAGUCUAGAUCUUUUGUUCCUUUGGUUUUGAACUGGUUUGUCUAUUUGUUUUUUCUUCAAACAGUCAUGUCCAAUCAUCAAUCAUUUUGAGCAAAAUUUUGGUUUCCAUUCAAACUCAAUGGGCUGUUGAAACUGUCUACCAGACGGAUCAUUAACAAUUAUUUCAGUAGGAAGCUUCUUUGUUACAUUUACCUCUAUCAAUAUUCUAGCAUAAGACACUCUAGUUUGCUUGGUGGUGCAUUGAUAAGCAAACAGAAGAUUACCUAGAGUACUAGCCAUCCUGCUCAAAGAAUUUAUUCCCCAACAAUUCAUCAAAAGUUUAGGGAAAUUUACCAAUAAUGGAAUCUCUAUUAAGAAUUCUGCGUUGAAAUCAAAUUCCGACAACCAUUGCUUAAGAAUAACAGGCUUGCUAUUAAUAAUAUAAGGCCCUCCAUACAGGAUUUCUCGUAAAUCACUCAGACUGGGGAAUUUGACUGUGUAAUAACCAUUUUCAUGUAAAAAUAGAUCUGGUUUAGCUAUGUUAUUCUAGUGUUGGGAAAUAUAGCGAUGCAUCUGGUUAUAGCCCGGCGUUUCCCCAAUUACAUAAACAAUCAGAGCUUCCUUCCAUUUUUCUGUCUCAUUUUCUACCUCUAAUUUGUCUAAAUUCACCACAUAUUAACCAUCUACUACUUCUGGAGCAAUAUAGGAUAAGGCCAUACCAUUUUCUGCAGAUCUAUUUCCAGCAAAGAGUUUCACCCAAGGCGUUCCAAUCAAACUUACUUUCUCCUCUGCAAUUGGCUCAAUUCGAAUCUGAUUAAUCUCAAUUAGGCCUGAGCAUGUUCUGGUCUCUUUUUUAAUCAUCUUCUCCACAUUGCUAAUUGACUUUCCUUGAUUAAUUGAGGGACUUGGGCUUAGAACCAACUUUUUUGAUGCACCUGUGUGAGCACUAGCAUUCCCCACUUAUAGAGUUCUAGUCGUGAAUGGUGGCCCAGUUGGGGUUACAAUUUGUUGUGUAUUACCACAUUCAAUGGUAUCAGCGAUAAUAGUUGCACUGACGGAACUUCCAACCGUAACAAGCGGUGGAUUUUUGAACGACCGACCUCUUUUCUUAGCCAUGGCUACCAAGGUCGGUGCAGGUUAGCAUAACCUACGCCGAGAGCAAAGCUAGAGGAUAAUGAAGGCUUUCAUUCUCGCUACCCAAACACUGUUAACCUUUUGUAAACCCUUUGAGCCGGUUACCUUUAUUUGACUACCCUCUUUGGAACCCGAAAAUGUUUGUCAAAAAAAAGACAAAACAAAACAACAAAAACAAAAAAAAAUCAAAAACAAAGCUUCCUGAACUACGUUUGACUUGAUUCUGAAAGGAUACGUAGGCAGCCUCUCUCUUGGGUUCAGUCACACCAAAACAAAAAUCCACAUUUUCCCAAAAGUUGAAACUUGGGUAGGAUUUAUAAUGGUUCGGCGAGGGUCCGCCUGAGAGGUUCCAAAAUUAUAAUUCAAUCCAAACUCUUUUUACCCCAAAUUAUGUUCAAGCCCUUCUGAUCAACCGGUAAAAAUGUUCAAAAUGGAGGAUAUGGUUACUUGAAUCUGAUACAACCAAAUGAGAGAAAUAAAAUGAGAGAGUCUUAUUGGUGAAAACCCACACUGGCAUCAUAAGGCGAUGGUAAGCAGAGAAAUUGAAAAUGAGAGAGCUUGUUAGUGAAAACUCUCAAAGAGCACUAUAAGGCGGCGUUGAGAAGAGAAAUGAGAGAGGUCAGUUAGUGAAAAACCGCAAAGGGCACCACUGAUCAAAAAACAGAUCCCUUACAACCAUCGGCACUGAUAGAGUCCUGAUAAGGUUUCUCGAUUUUGAGGUAUGAGUUAUGAUGGGUUUAUGAGAGUUGGAUGGUUUGCGCAGAUCGGGUAUCCAGUCCAAGAAGCAUGUCAUGUCUAUUGAAGUCUGCAUGCAUUCUAGAUAAGUCCUUUUUUCCUUUUCCCGAAAGGGACACUUCUCGUUUAAAUUCAUUAUCUUGUCCGUUAUUUACUUUUCUUUGAAUCCCUUUCGAUUUAAUUCUCGUCUGAAACUAAUACAAAGGAAAGAUGGAAAGAUUGGUUUUACAGGGUUUUGUUGACAAAAGCUGAAAUUCAAGAAAAGCACCCGGCCUCAGCAGGUGCAUCAAGUCGACCUCAACUAGCCAUGUUAGCCGAUGCUCUAGAGUAAAAAACUCUUGAAAAUAAAGGAAAUCAUAGUCAAGUGCCCAUAAAGGCCAAAUAAGAUGGAAAAAGGUCAAGCCCCACAUGGGUUAAUCAUUAGGUGGAAUUUGGGAAAGUCAAGUCCCCUAAGGUUUAGAAAUGAAACCAAUUUCCAAAGAGCCAACGAGCAACGAAAAUAUUUAUUGAAAAAACUGGGUCGAGAUCAAAUGAUUGAAACAAUCAAGGCCAUAAAACUAACCACCUUUUCAAACUGACAUUCCCAGCAUAACCCGUGGACCUUUCCGGCAUAACCCAAUGACUUUCCCGGCAUAACCCGUGGACCUUUUCGGCAUAACCCGAUGACCUUCCCCAGCAUAAUCCGAGGACCUUUCGGAUAACCCGAUGACCUUCCAUGGCAUAACCUGAGGACCUUGCCGACAAAACCCAAUGACUUCCCCGGCAUAACCCGAUGACCUUUUCGGCAUAACCCAAUGACUUCCCCAGAAUAAACCGAGGACCUUUCCGGCAUAACCCGAUGACUUUCCCCGCCAUAACCCAAGGACCUUUCCGGCAUAACCCUGUCACGACCCGAAUCAGAGGGCCGCGACGGGCACCUGGUGCUUUACUCAACCGAGUACCAACGUAACAUAUCUUUCUUAUCAUACUAUCAUGAGUAAAUGAGCCAGAAAACCGGUCAUGAGAUAACAAGAAUAAAACAUAAGGGAAUACUCAAUGUAUGAAGACCCAAAAUGAUAUACAAACUCAUAUAUGUGACAUACGGGCCUAUAAGGCCGACAUGACCAUUUGUAAACUCAAAACAUAGGACGACAAGGCCAUACAAGUGUCCCUACACCUGACAUCUAUCUACAAACCUCUAAGAGUACAUAAAAUCAUAAAGAUCGGGACAGGGCCCCGCCAUACCAAUUAAUACAUAUCCAAAGCAUACUAACCAACUAGGCAACUCCGGAGCAAGUGGAGUGCACCAACACCUUCGCUGAGCUGAUAGCCCACUAGGAGGACUGUCAACCUAUCAAUCGGGACCUGCGAGCAUGACAUGCAGCAUCCCCAGGCAAAAGGGAUGUCAGUACGAAUAAAGUACCGAGUAUGUAAGGCAGGAAAGCAUAAACAAGAACAGUAAUGUAAAGAUAGAUAUAGGAGAUACAACUUGUAACAUCUGAGUGCCUCUGGGAGCUACUGACAUGAAAUGCAUAAUACAUAUAUAUACAUGAACUUUUUAAAAACAUUCGCCUCUGUGGGCAUCAUCAUCAUCAUAUCAUAACCGGCCUCAAAGAGGACUCGGUAAAAAUGUACCUGGCCAUCAUAAGGCUCAGUAGAAUCGUACCCGGCCACGUGGAGCUCGGUAAACCCAACUGAUCAGUGGUUGCACAAUAGGUGCCAUACCCGGCCGACUAUACCACGGCUCGGUAGAGUAAAAUAGAUACAUAUAUAUAAUGCAGGCUCGACUCAUGGAAUCACGUUCUAACCCUUUCGGAGUGAUGUAAGGUCAUUGCACCUUCGAUUAACAUUAUGGACAUCCCUACCAUCAAUAUGAACCUUAGUGGGAUUUAAUGAUCAUACACACUUGUUUAGAAUAACUUUAUAAGGAAAGAACAACAUGGACAACCUUAGUUUCUAGGAGUAGAUCCGUUAUGAAUUAGCAUACCGUUUAUGUUCAUGUCACUUUAGAUCAUGCCAAAUGAAAGAAGAGCUUAGCCUUAACAUACCUGUGAGCUUAAUUCUACAUGAACUCUCACGUAAAGCUAGAAGACUGAUAGUUGUGCAUGACGUACUAACAGCUUCAACUGUUCAGGAUGAAUGAACUAUAUCCAAUACUGAAGCUUAUGUUUUCCACAACACUUUUCCUUUUACUACUUUUGUACAUUCAGCGGGCAAGAAUCUUCCUCAGCUCUGUCCCAACUGAUUCUCAACUGCUUAAGCUUGACCUUCCAAUUCUUGACAAUUGUUUUUCACCAGAUUUCAUGAGUUUAACAGAUUGCAAAUUGCCAGAACGUUUUGUCCGGACAUAUCUAUGAUACGUGCAAGGAAGUGGAAGGUGGAUUCUUUGAAUUAGUUAAGUUGCUUUUCCAUGACAAAUUUCAAUGGGUCCAUUAAAUCUAGUGGUAAUUCCAGAAAGAAAGUCCUCCACUGUUGAUCAUAAUAAAAUCUUGGAAUGGCUUGACUUGAUUAUUAUACUAUUCUAAAUAAAGAUACUUCCAUCUACAGAAACUACCUAAUAGAUAAGGAGGAUUGUCUACUAAUAGAUAUUUA
rnacentral:lncRNA from 1 species